rnacentral:ncRNA from 1 species
UGAACCAGCGAGGGGUGCCAUUGGAGUAUACCCGACCCAUGGGUGUCAUUCCUUCGGCUGAGAUUAUACCCUAAAUAACCUGAUCCGGGUCAUACCGGCGGAGGGACUGCUGUGCUCGAUUGAU